rnacentral:rRNA from 1 species
UGUACACGCUGUGACUAGCAUAUCAAUAAGCGGAGGAAAAGUCAAUACCUACGCUUAGGAUGUUGACACACGCGCGUGCUCGACUCUAUACAUGACUCAGUGCAUAUCAAUAAGCGGAGGAAAAGAGGGCCAUUACCUACGCUUAGGAUGUUGACACACGCGCGUGCUCGACUCUAUACAUGACUCUGUGCAUAUCAAUAAGCGGAGGAAAAGGCGGCGGAGAGUAUUGGUGUGGGCGUACCUACGCUUAGGAUGUUGACACACGCGCGUGCUCGACUCUAUACAUGACUCUGCGCAUAUCAAUAAGCGGAGGAAAAGGCUGCGGAACUGAACGAUCGCUACCUACGCUUAGGAUGUUGACACACGCGCGUGCUCGGCUCUAUACAUGACUCUGCGCAUAUCAAUAAGCGGAGGAAAAGCUAUACCUACGCUUAGGAUGUUGACGAGACUGUCGAUCUCAUCUAUACAUGACUCUGCGCAUAUCAAUAAGCGGAGGAAAAGAGGGCUAUUACCUACGCUUAGGAUGUUGACGAGACUGUCGAUCUCAUCUAUACAUGACUCUGCGCAUAUCAAUAAGCGGAGGAAAAGCAUAACAUGUAUACCUACGCUUAGGAUGUUGACACACGCGCGUGCUCGACUCUAUACAUGACUCUGCGCAUAUCAAUAAGCGGAGGAAAAAUGUACCUACGCUUAGGAUGUUGAUCUACAGAGCGAGAGU